UUUUUUGUGAGAAAGCUGCGCAUAUUUCAGCAAUGAGCUUGUCCAUGUCCAUCUAGAUGCAAGUCAUGGCUAUAAUACAUACAAGACCAAAAUGGGGUGGAAAUAAAUUUUCAUUGGAAAAGAUACAAGCUAUCAAUCCUUGGGUAUAAGCUACGAGCAGUAGUUAUCAAGGCCCAAAUCCCUCAGAGCAUCAGUUGCAGCAUCCUUGCAGGUUUCAUGAUUUUCCUUGGCUCUCCUUAUAAUUUUCUCAAUGCCUUGGCUGAGCAGGAGUGUUCUAUUCUCGGGGUUCCUAACAACAAGAUUGCGGAUCAUGAGGCAGGAAUUCCUCUGCAAUUGUUGUGCAGAUGGAAACUUCAGCAUUGCUUGGAUAGCAAGGUCUCCAGCUCCAGCUUCUAUGGCACGGGCUGCAUUAUUUGGGGACCUUAAGGAGAGUACUGUAAUGAUAGACAUAACCUCUUGCAGGACAGAAGGGUCAUCAGAAAAUCUUCCUGAAAGUUGGAUUAGCCUUUCCAUGCCCCCUUUUUCUAUGAUAGCACUCUUAUUUGAGUCACUUGCUGCCAACUUGGAUAACAA
rnacentral:misc_RNA from 1 species